rnacentral:lncRNA from 1 species
AAACAGUUCCCCUACAAUGAGAUUAAAAAUAUUUUCUAAAAGAGGCUUUUUUUCUGAUUUCUUCUCUUCCUUUGGGACAUACAAACUUGGAUUGUAUUUUCUAGUUUUCCUCUACAAAUGUGAACUGAAUUUGUUGCUCCUGUCAGGACACGUGGCAUGGAAAGAAGCUCAUGAAAUCUGGUGCAGAAGAAGUGGGAACGGAGAAAAACAUCCAAUGCAGAGUGAUCAGUAUACUCCUGAGUAUUGAAUAUUCGAUGAGGCUGCCUGUUCAAAAGAAGAAUCAGCUUCACUUAUUUUAGAGAAUAAUUUGUGCUGAGAUCCUCACUCUGUGAUAAUGUACUACCGGGAAGAGAUCUGCAUUUUCGCUCUAUUCUUGCCCACUCCCUCAAACAUAUAUAGCUGUAUAACAGCUGCCAUUCCUACUACAGUACUUCUGGAUGACUUCCUUGUAUGGAUAUUUCAAGCACAUACAAUUUGAGAGAUGUUAAAAAAUGCUAAGAGUGACUGCAUCAAUAUUGCAGAGUGCAAUAUUUCUUUCUCUUGAAGAAGGAAACAUGAAAUAAUUUCUUCUUGAGACAGUUACCCUAAUUAGCUCUAUUGGUGGUAGUUUCUACACCAUCUCUAGUUUUCAUAAAAUUUCCAGCAUGUAAAAACACCUCUUUGUCGACGGUUUACGGGCGUUAGGCCUGAUUCCGUGACAAAGGGGACGGGGGACCCAAGGGCCCACGUCCCGGGAAAAGGGGAAAGGGGAAAAGGGUAGGGAGAUGGCCCUGAGAGCAAAGAACAGCGGCAACAAUCUGAGGAGAAACAAACUAAUUUACUAAAUACGAUAUCGGAAUGCAAAACAACACACUAUAAUACAAUAUAAUUACAAUUUAAGCUGAUAAAUCCAAUACAGAGAGAGAGAAUGUCCCAAAAUCAAGGUAGGCCUUACUCUACUACCGACGAUAAGACGGCUGGAGAGCGAGGUGCUGCCAAGACGAGAGACGGCGGAAAAAGGAACGAGGUCUCGUGAUCUGCAAGUUUUUAUACUGCGAGCUUCUAUCUUUUCCCUCCGGCUGGAAAAUGGUAACAAAGGAGCAAAGUACCGUGGGGACUGUAGUAGUCCUUCUCUUCUGAGAACUAGGUAUAUCCACUACAUGAUGUUAUGAUGUGGAAUACCAAUAACCGAAAAUCACAAAACCAUGACACUCUUGCAAGUUCACUAGCAAGACCUAGUGGGGAAUGGAUUCUAUUUGUGUCUAACU